rnacentral:rRNA from 1 species
GUCGAGCUACUACGGUAGUGAAGUCAUUGAUGCCAUGCUUCCAGGAAAAGCCUCUAAGCUUCAGAUUGUAAGGAAUCGUACCCCAAACCGACACAGGUGGUCGGGUAGAGAAUACCAAGGCGCUUGAGAGAACUCGGGUGAAGGAACUAGGCAAAAUGGUACCGUAACUUCGGGAGAAGGUACGCUCUUGAUGGUGAAGUCCCUUGCGGAUGGAGCUGACGAGAGUCGCAGAUACCAGGUGGCUGCAACUGUUUAUUAAAAACACAGCACUGUGCAAAAUCGUAAGAUGACGUAUACGGUGUGACGCCUGCCCGGUGCCGGAAGGUUAAUUGAUGGGGUUAGCGUAAGCGAAGCUCUUGAUCGAAGCCCCGGUAAACGGCGGCCGUAACUAUAACGGUCCUAAGGUAGCGAAAUUCCUUGUCGGGUAAGUUCCGACCUGCACGAAUGGCGUAAUGAUGGCCACGCUGUCUCCACCCGAGACUCAGUGAAAUUGAAAUCGCUGUGAAGAUGCAGUGUACCCGCGGCUAGACGGAAAGACCCCGUGAACCUUUACUACAGCUUGGCACUGAACAUUGAACCUACAUGUGUAGGAUAGGUGGGAGGCUUUGAAGACGUGACGCCAGUUGCGUUGGAGCCGUCCUUGAAAUACCACCCUUGUAUGUUUGAUGUUCUAACGUUGGCCCCUAAUCGGGGUUGCGGACAGUGCCUGGUGGGUAGUUUGACUGGGGCGGUCUCCUCCCAAAGAGUAACGGAGGAGCACGAAGGUGGGCUAAUCACGGUUGGACAUCGUGAGGUUAGUGCAAUGGCAUAAGCCCGCUUAACUGCGAGAAUGACGGUUCGAGCAGGUGCGAAAGCAGGUCAUAGUGAUCCGGUGGUUCUGAAUGGAAGGGCCAUCGCUCAACGGAUAAAAGGUACUCCGGGGAUAACAGGCUGAUACCGCCCAAGAGUUCAUAUCGACGGCGGUGUUUGGCACCUCGAUGUCGGCUCAUCACAUCCUGGGGCUGAAGUCGGUCCCAAGGGUAUGGCUGUUCGCCAUUUAAAGUGGUACGCGAGCUGGGUUUAGAACGUCGUGAGACAGUUCGGUCCCUAUCUGCCGUGGGCGUUGGAAGAUUGAAGGGGGCUGCUCCUAGUACGAGAGGACCGGAGUGGACGAACCUCUGGUGUUCGGGUUGUGUCGCCAGACGCAUUGCCCGGUAGCUAAGUUCGGAAUCGAUAACCGCUGAAAGCAUCUAAGCGGGAAGCGAGCCCUGAGAUGAGUCUUCCCUGAUACUUUAAGUAUCCUGAAGGGUUGUUCGAGACUAGAACGUUGAUAGGCAGGGUGUGUAAGCGCUGUGAGGCGUUGAGCUAACCUGUACUAAUUGCCCGUGAGGCUUAACCAU